GCAAGGGGGUCAUCCCGACUUACCAACCCGAUGCAAACUGCGAAUACCGGAGAAUGUUAUCACGGGAGACACACGGCGGGUGCUAACGUCCGUCGUGAAGAGGGAAACAACCCAGACCGCCAGCUAAGGUCCCAAAGUCAUGGUUAAGUGGGAAACGAUGUGGGAAGGCCCAGACAGCCAGGAUGUUGGCUUAGAAGCAGCCAUCAUUUAAAGAAAGCGUAAUAGCUCACUGGUCGAGUCGGCCUGCGCGGAAGAUGUAACGGGGCUAAACCAUGCACCGAAGCUGCGGCAGCGACACUAUGUGUUGUUGGGUAGGGGAGCGUUCUGUAAGCCUGUGAAGGUGUGCUGUGAGGCAUGCUGGAGGUAUCAGAAGUGCGAAUGCUGACAUAAGUAACGAUAAAGCGGGUGAAAAGCCCGCUCGCCGGAAGACCAAGGGUUCCUGUCCAACGUUAAUCGGGGCAGGGUGAGUCGACCCCUAAGGCGAGGCCGAAAGGCGUAGUCGAUGGGAAACAGGUUAAUAUUCCUGUACUUGGUGUUACUGCGAAGGGGGGACGGAGAAGGCUAUGUUGGCCGGGCGACGGUUGUCCCGGUUUAAGCGUGUAGGCUGGUUUUCCAGGCAAAUCCGGAAAAUCAAGGCUGAGGCGUGAUGACGAGGCACUACGGUGCUGAAGCAACAAAUGCCCUGCUUCCAGGAAAAGCCUCUAAGCAUCAGGUAACAUUAAAUCGUACCCCAAACCGACACAGGUGGUCAGGUAGAGAAUACCAAGGCGCUUGAGAGAACUCGGGUGAAGGAACUAGGCAAAAUGGUGCCGUAACUUCGGGAGAAGGCACGCUGAUAUGUAGGUGAAGUCCCUCGCGGAUGGAGCUGAAAUCAGUCGAAGAUACCAGCUGGCUGCAACUGUUUAUUAAAAACACAGCACUGUGCAAACACGAAAGUGGACGUAUACGGUGUGACGCCUGCCCGGUGCCGGAAGGUUAAUUGAUGGGGUUAGCGGUAACGCGAAGCUCUUGAUCGAAGCCCCGGUAAACGGCGGCCGUAACUAUAACGGUCCUAAGGUAGCGAAAUUCCUUGUCGGGUAAGUUCCGACCUGCACGAAUGGCGUAAUGAUGGCCAGGCUGUCUCCACCCGAGACUCAGUGAAAUUGAACUCGCUGUGAAGAUGCAGUGUACCCGCGGCAAGACGGAAAGACCCCGUGAACCUUUACUAUAGCUUGACACUGAACAUUGAGCCUUGAUGUGUAGGAUAGGUGGGAGGCUUUGAAGUGUG
rnacentral:rRNA from 1 species